UAGUAAACAUUGCACAGGAAUGCAAACAUAGUUGGAUUUAGACACAAAGGAUGAACAUUAGUCUAUUUUUAAAAUUUCAUUUUUCAGUUGCACACGCUCAUACGUUAGUUGGCUGCAUUUGUAGAAUAGUUGCACGCUCUAGAUCAUUUAGUUGGCAGGCCAUUUUUUUGCCAUGAUAUCUAAACGGGACACUGUGUCUGCAUCACACAGUUACGACAGGUUUUUUCCGGUGUGGUUUUCUCCGCCAAGUGUUCGUCCAGUUUUUUAGUAGAUCACAUGGUGUUUUCUAGUGGACUUUUAUGUGCAUGUCUCGCCUCCUUAUGCUUUCUCCAGCUCACAUGUGUGUCUUUGGGUUUCUUGCAGUGAAAAUGGUUGUAGAAGGGAGAUAAUGGUGGCAACGGAGGAGAGGUAAAUUUUGCGUUUUUUUCUUCAUGAUAUGUGUGUUUAGGUUUUCAUUAUAGUUUUCAAAAAAGGCGUUUUCAUAUAGAUUUGGUGUGGGCAGGCAUUGCGUGAGAGAACCACCACAUAGGAGUCUGCGCAACCGUGGUCUUCUUUCCCCAUCUUCGGCGAACUUUCUCGCUCAACCCCUACCUCAAUCCUUAAUUAUCCAUGUCAUGGAGCACAUCGACCACUAGGCAGUUGUUCAUCGACUACUAGACAGUUGGUCGGAAUAUAAAAAGUUGGAUAUCUCACUCGCGGUGGUAGUUAGAGUAGUGAAAAUUCCACAUCCGACUAUUAGGCAAUUGGCAGGUGCAGCAGACGAAGUUGCACAUCAUUUGCUAGAUAGGCGGCCGGGACAGCUGAUGAAGUUGUACAACAACUGCUAAACAGUUGGCCAGGACAGCAGACGAAGUUGCACAUUGCACAGCCAGAGGCUGUUGAGGUGGUGAAAACUGCACAUCCACGGAGUCGGGGGAACGUUGUACAUUGACCUACUAGAACGUUGGUUGCGGCAGCAGAUGAAGUUGCAUAUCGUCUGGUAGUCAGUUGGCGCAGAUAGCGCAUGAAGUUGCACAUCUCACUAACAUGGAUAAUUAGGGAGGUAAAAAAUGCACAUCCAUGGGGUAGGGAAAAAGUUGCACAUCGACUACUAGGCAGUUGGCCGGGCAGCAGCCGAAGUUGCACACCAACUACUAGGCAGUUGGACGGGCAGUAGUCGAAGUUGCACAUCGUCUGCUAGGCAGGUGGAACGGGCAUCGGAUGAAGUUGCACAUCAUUUGUUAGUCAGUUGGCACGAACAACAGAUGUUAUUGCACAUCAUUUGUUAGCCAAUUGGCGCCGACAGCAAAUGAAGUUGCACAUCUCACUGGGCAGGGGUAAUUAGGGUGGUGAAAAAUGCAUGUCCACGUGGUAGAGAUAAGAUGCAGAUCUACUGCUAGAUAGUUGUCCGAGCGGUAAAUGAAGUUGCAUAUCAUCUGCUAGACAAGUGGACGGGGCAGCAGGUGAAGUUUCUCAUCACAUGAAGUUGAUUCAUCUAACACUAAAAUUACACCAUGCAGUACUAUAGUUUGGUUGUGGUAGCACCAAAUUUAGUUUUAAAAAAAGUUGCAUCCCAUAGUAUAAAAGUUGCACCAUGUAGUACCAACAGUUGGCUGUGAAAAAAGUUCAUCGAAACCUAUAUAAAUUAAAUCUAGUUUUAAAGAUCUCAUCGCGAGGAUUACAACGAUGAAAACGGAUUUUAAUUUUAAUAUGUGGUUUGAAAGUUAUAGCUUUUGAAUUUUUUGAAAUGCAAUUAAUUGGCUUUUUGCUUUACUAAUGCAGAUAGGAAGAAGUGGCGCCAGCGUGAAGGAGGAAAUAGAAGACGUGUCGGUGGCCGAUGCUUUUUUAGUUUUGUCUCACGUGGGGACCAGGUUUCUUAAUUAGGACAUGGGACAUAAAUAUUCCUAAUAUGGCUGGCUGCCGAGGAUCGCUAGCGAGCGCACGGCUGCUCGCUAGACGUAUCCCUAGAAAAUUCCCUUCUCUGUCUUCCAUCUCCCUCGCCUGGCUCUGCUACUCUCCACAGGCCCCCAACGCCGACCAUGCCGCCGCCGAGGCCGCCUUCCACCACCUCCGCGGCUCCCACCCGGAGCCCCGUGUGCUGCGCCUCGCCUCAUCACCCGCGACGCCAACUACCCCCCUCUCCCCCACGAGCUCCGCGCCAUGGCCGCUGUCCUCCUCCGCAAGAUCCUCUCUCCACGGCCUCCUCUGACUCGUCCACCUCCGAGCUCCGUGUCAUGGCCGCUGUCCUCCUCCGCAAGCUCCUCUCCCCCGAAGGCCUCUUCCAACUCUGGCCCCUCCUCUCCCCCGAGGGUCAGGCCGCACUCAAGUCAAACCUCGUCAACGCAUCCGGCAGUGCCGCAACAACCUUGACGGAGCUCGCUGCUGCUGCUCACUCUUAUCUCCACCGGGCUGGAGUGUAGGAGGUUGCCGCCACCGGGCUGGAUCCAUCUCUCCUUUUUUAUUGAAUCAAAACACACAUCCAGAUUCAUCCCUGGCUUGCUUGCAGGAGAACGUAAGUUGUUUUUUCUACUACCGCUCAAGUUGCACAGGCACUUGUAUCAGUACGCAUUUCUGAUACAGCUUAAUCUUAUCUCUGUAGCACACUCGCUAGAAGGCCGUUGAUUUGGAUGAAAUUGGGUGUCCUACAUUCUGCUACUUUUGUGCUAUGCUUGUUGCCUGUGUAUGCUUCAGGUAUAGAAAAAUCCUAUCCACUUUCAUGAAGAUACAAAGACUAGAUGACGUUUUUGUUUAAGCCUUGUUUAGGUUGAUCUAUUUUUGCUAUUCAUAUUUUUUGUUGGCAUCUACAGCAGUUGUAGUUGCACACAUAAUAGUUCUUAGUUGGAUAUGACCAUCAAGCAUUUACACAACACAACGAUACUAAAUUGGCUAGAUGAAAUCUAGCUCUCACAUUGAUUACUUCAAUUUAGCUAGACGCGGGUCAUUGUAAGCUCGACCAACUACUAUUUGUAAACUAGAAGCAUGCAUACUCUCAUCCGCAUAUGUACAGUACUUUCAGCAUCUUGCUCAAGGAGCUAUGGUGAUUAGGAUUAGUGGUGGGUUUGUACAGCGAUUAGGGUUUGAGUUGGAUUUUCACGGCUGGUUGUUCUAAUUUCGCAACUAUUGGUAUGGUUCAGGAUCCUAUCUUGAUCCUUCUAUUUUUGCCUAGACUACAACUGUCUUUUUAAACAUGAUACUCUCUCUAGAGCUUCAUUACAUUAUGUACCUCUUUUUUCUUGUAAAUGCAUUCGUGUGGUUUCUCUGUUUUCUCGUAAGUUCCAUGCAUAUAAGUAACUAGUUGGCUAGUUUGUUGUAAUAGUUGCACAGGAACGCAAACGUAGUUGGAUGACACAUAUACAUAUCUCAGUUGGCUAGCCAACUUAUGAAGUUGCACACUAAGGGCUAACCAGUUGCACAAUCGAUGGUAUUUAGAUGGAUGCACUGUGUAAACUAUGUUCAAGCAGUGUGUGUGGUUUUUUUGGUUGCACACUCAUGUGUGCCCUGUUGGCAAGGGUACACGUUCGUAUAGGAGUACAGAUCCUAGCUGCCUUAGCCGCACUUAUACAGCUGCACAGGGAAAGGCUACCUAGUUGCACGGUUGACGGCUAGGUAGGUUUGGCUCCAGUGCCUAAAUCAAGUUCACGCGGUCUGUAUACUGAUUUUUUUUGGUUGCACGCUCAUUUGUGCCCAGUUGGCCAUACAGUGCAUCAAGUUGCACACAAUUUUUUGCUUGGUAUGUGUGCUUUGGAAAAUCAUCAUAAGUUGCUUUACCCCGUGGCAUUUUUUAUAUCAUUUUUUUUGCUAUUUUUUUCUUGUAUACAUUUGGUUGCUUUGACUAAUUUGUUCGUUUGCAUUUUUCACAGGCCAAAAAUGGUCGUAGAAGGAGAUGCGGCUCCUAGUGAAGGAGAGGUAUCCUCAACCUUUAUAGAUGCAUCCAGAACUUUUAUAGUUGCACAACAAUCAAUUAAGAAUUGGUAUCCUCAACUUUUCAAAUAGUUGCACAACAGUAUCAUACGAGUUGGCAUCCUCAACUUCCAUAGUUGCACCAGAACCAUUUCAGAGUUGGCAGUCUCAACCUUUUAAAUAGUCCCACAACAAUAUCAUAUGAGUUGGCAUCCUCAACUAUUUUAGUUGCACAAGAACCAAUCAGGAGUUGGCAGUCUCAAGUAUUUUAGUUGCACAAGAACCAAUCAGGACAUUUUUUUCAUUUUUCAUUUUUCAGUUGCACAACCUCUCAUGUCAGUUGGCUGCAUCUAGAUGGUAGUUGCAUGCUCCAGAAAUUAUAGUUGGGGGGGACAUUUUUUUAUAUGAUAUCUAACUGGUACACUCUACACUACAUAGUUGGCUAGUAAACAUUGCACAGGAAUGCAAACAUAGUUGGAUUUAGACACAAAGGAUGAACAUUAGUCUAUUUUUAAAAUUUCAUUUUUCAGUUGCACACGCUCAUAAGUUAGUUGGCUACAUUUGUAGAAUAGUUGCACGCUCUAGAUCAUUUAGUUGGCAGGCCAUUUUUUUGCCAUGAUAUCUAAACGGGACAUUGUGUCUGCAUCACACAGUUACGACAGGUUUUUUCCGGUGUGGUUUUCUCCGCCAAGUGUUCGUCCAGUUUUUUAGUAGAUCACGUGGUGUUUUCUAGUGGACUUUUAUGUGCAUGUCUCGCCUCCUUAUGCUUUCUCCAGCUCACAUGUGUGUCCUUGGGUUUCUUGCAGUGAAUAUGGUGAAGUGAAAAUGGUUGUAGAAGGGAGAUAAUGGUGGCAACGGAGGAGAGGUAAAUUUUGCGUUUUUUUCUUCAUGAUAUGUGUGUUUAGGUUUUCAUUAUAGUUUUCAAAAAAGGCGUUUUCAUAUAGAUUUGGUGUGGGCAGGCAUUGCGUGAGAGAACCA
rnacentral:lncRNA from 1 species